AUCGGCUGGCAACAGGACGAACGAUGGAGUCUAAGCUGAUUGUGUUGAUGAUGCUGUCCCUUACUGUGACGAUACUGGGGCACGGCCCUCCAAAAGAUAGAGACAACGAGGACAUUUCAAUGGGCCGUAAGAUGGGAGCGAAAUGGUGCAGCAUGGCUAAGGUGUGCAAUCACGACCGUGUCCCAAUCUGUGGCAUUAGUCACGCCGGUGACGUCAUCGGGUUCCGGGAUCUCUGCGAUAUGUUCGACUAUAAUUGCAUAAGACGCAGAAAUUACAAGCAGACUGGUUGUCCUGAAGACAAAUCCAUUCUGAGCGUAUCGCGUCGACCAACAAGUACCUUCUACGAUGAUUAAAAAUUAUUUACUGGAAACACAUUUUGUAUUAGACUUUAAAUUUGUAUUAUUUUAUCAUCAUAAUUAAACACGUAUUUAAUUUA